ACGACCGGGUAUAGAAGUCGAUGACCCGACGGCUGGGUAUUAUAGCCGCUUUGACCCCACGACCGGGUAUAAACGUCGAUGAUGACCGGACGGCCGGGUAUAAAGCCGUUAUUUUGAAAAUUUGUCCAAUCUCACACGUGUUACCACGUAUGAGCUUGUCGGGGGGUAUUGGGAGAAAGAGAAGCGUAGAUCGGAAGAUCGACG
rnacentral:lncRNA from 1 species